CAGUAGCCGCGGUAAUACAGAGGGUGCAAGCGUUAAUCGGAAUUACUGGGCGUAAAGCGCGCGUAGGUGGUUUGUUAAGUUGGAUGUGAAAUACCCGGGCUCAACCUGGGAACUGCAUCCAAAACUGGCAAGCUAGAGUAUGGUAGAGGGUGGUGGAAUUUCCUGUGUAGCGGUGAAAUGCGUAGAUAUAGGAAGGAACACCAGUGGCGAAGGCGACCACCUGGACUGAUACUGACACUGAGGUGCGAAAGCGUGGGGAGCAAACAGGAUUAGAUACCCCAGUAGUCCCUGUCUCUUAUAC
rnacentral:rRNA from 1 species